rnacentral:rRNA from 1 species
GUGUCAGCAGCCGCGGUAAGACGAACCGUGCGAACGUUAUUCGGAAUCACUGGGCUUAAAGCGCGUGUAGGCGGCUCGACACGUCCGUCGUUGAAAUCCCCUGGCUCAACCAGGGAACAGGCACGGAUACGAUCGGGCUAGAGGCCGGUAGGGGGAGUCGGAACUUCCGGUGGAGCGGUGAAAUGCGUUGAGAUCGGAAGGAACGCCCGUGGCGAAAGCGGACUCCUGGACCGGACCUGACGCUGAGACGCGAAAGCCAGGGGAGCAAACGGGAUUAGAUACCCCGGUAGUCCUGGCUGUAAACCAUGGGCACUGGGUAGGGGACUCGCCGAUGGGUUCCCUGCCGCAGCGAAAGCGUGAAGUGCCCCGCCUGGGGAGUAUGGUCGCAAGGCUGAA